rnacentral:misc_RNA from 1 species
UGUAUAAUUCUAACAAAUCUUUCCUUGUAUUUUAGACAGACACAAUAAAUCUAUUUCAAGAUAUAAAAAUUUCCUUUUCUCAGAAAAAUCUUUUAAACAUGGUGUUGGAUCUUGAAUUGAGCAAGAUUACUGUCUCGUUGCAAGCGGACGAGAAGCACCGUCGCAGACGGGCGUUGGAGGAAAUAAUGAGCAACAUCUCACGGGAGGAGGUGUCAAGCCGGAUCGAUGAACUGGCCAGAAUAUGGGAGGGUACACACAAGUUCCUAGUCAGAAUCUUAAACGACAACGUGGAAACGUGUCGAGAUUUGACUGUGGAAAUACUGAAGAUAUUUCUGGAAGCUCUGCCAGCCGACGACAGGCACGUAAUCUACGUUAUACCGAUAAUGUUCAGACGAUUGGGCGCGCAGGAACAGAUCGAGCCGUCGGAAGAAGUGCGCUUGAAGUGCGUGUCUCUCUUGCACACGGUAAUCCUCAAGUACAAAGACUUACUGGUGCCGUACGUGCAGGAUGUGACGGGAAUAUUGGCACGCACGGUCACGGAUAAUUAUCCGGAUGUGAAGAAGGAGAGCUGUAGCUGCAUAUCGGACUACGCGAAGACUCUACCGAGGCACUUUUACACGCAGUCGGAACAUCUGAUAAAGCCUAUCCUUGGCAAUUUCACGCAUCAGCAUUACAGAGUUCGGCUCGCCGCUGUCAGGGCGAUAGGCGACACGAUUCAAUACGGAAACAGCAAGUUGAUGGAAGAAGUGGCGACUCCCAUGGCACAGAGGCUGUUCGAUCAAAGCGGGAUUGUCAGAGAAGCUGUAGUUGAAGUGUCGGGCCAUUGGCUGACAGAGCUGCCCGAUAGAUACAGCUGGUGGCACAGACUCCUUCCUCUGAUCAUGACUGGACUCCACGAUGAGCUCGCGGAGAUUCGCGUGAAGGCAGCCGAUAUGUGGGAUGCUGCAGGGAAAUUAUACCUACAAGAAAAUGAGAAUGACGAGAAGUUAAAGGACAAAAUGGACUUUCUCAUGGAAGGCUCGGAGCAUUAUCCUCCAGACGUCUGUAGGCCAAAUUUGGGAUGCCGUACGAUCGCGCAGCAGAAUCUGUACAAGCUUAUCAAUGGCAUUGGCGUCGAACUUGGGGACUGGCUGCCGGACAUCCGUCUACGCUCCGCGCAAUUACUCUGCGUGAUGAUACUGAAUGUUGAGGAGGACGUCACGCAGCAUGUCGAGAGGCUCUUGCCACCUAUAUAUCGUGCUUGCAAUGACGAGGACAAGAGAGUGGUGGGUUGCGUGGAAACUGCGGCGCGGUACCUAGGCUACUUUAUAGACCCGAAAAUUUACUGCGAAUUGGUGCUUCCCACUCUGGACGAGUCUCCGACAGCCGGACACUUGCGCGCUUUUGCAGCGAUCAUUGGCGGUAGCGAGCGACGAGCUCUCUCGUUGCAGCUAGAAAAAAUCGCGAGCUUCCUGCAGCAGCCGUACGUCUGCCGAAGCAAAAAGAGCAACUACCAACGUCAGAUGUUGUCCUGCUGCAACUCCCUCCUCGUAGUUUGCAGAGAGGACUGCGUCGUAGUUGCUCAGCCUUUAUUCACCAUAGCGUUCACCGCGUACGCGAUGGCCACGGAGGCUCCUGUUCGCGAGGAAGCGAACAGAUUGCUGGAAAUACUCGUUGCCAUAAACUCGCUGAAAACGGUCGAGGAUCUUUUCUGCAAUCACAUGAAAUGUCUAAUAACGUCGAUUCACGACGACUGUACCUCGUGGUCGGUUCAUAACGCGGAAUCGCAAAUUUUCAGCGCUUACUUGAGCCGUGCUGGAGUCGCCACGGCGCGUAAUAUGGAUCUCGUAUUGCCUAUCCUCAAGAAGACGAUGUGCAAAGACGCCGACCCCGAACUGAAGUUGCGACACUUUAUCCUACUUUCGGAGUUCUUCUCCGACAAUCAGAAUUUGUACCAAUAUAUCGAUGAUCCGCGUAAAUUCGUAGGCACGAUUAUUGAGGAGCUGAUUGUGCCCGGACUGAUUUGGACUGCCGGUAGAGCAGCGGAAGCUAUCCGCACAGCUGCCGUCUGUUGCCUCUGCGCCACUCUGCAGAACAAGAUAAUUAAUCCCGAUGAAGAAGAGAAAACUGAAGAAGGUUCAAAUAAGGAGCCUGAAAAAUGUAGAAUAUCCAUCACAGUGGAGCAAUUUCCAUCCAUUUUUGACAAAGUUGCACCCGUCCUAGUCAGUCUGAUAGAUGAUAAAGCCAAAAAGACCAGACUAUAUUCGAUGCGUGCCAUUUGCCUGUUGAUGAUGAUUGGGGACAGGUUGGCCUGUCUAAGUAACGAGUAUAUUCACCGUACAUAUCCGGUGAUAUUGAAAAGACUCGACGAUGGUUGCGACGAUGUUCGUUACGCUGCCGUGGAAGCACUCGUGGACAUCUGGAGCACCGCGUCUAAAAAUUACGAUACCGUCGUCAGCAGAAGUCACGUCGAUGCUCUAUACACGACGAUGAUCGUCCAUUUGGACGAUCCAGAAUCCUACUUUCAAGAGAUAAUGUUAGAUGCAUUAAAGCGUGUCACAAAGAUUUACCCUGAAUUGCUGCACCAAAAAUUGCAUGGCUGUCGUCAAAAUUUCAGAAACCAAACAGGAAUAAAUGCGCUUCUGGGGCACUGCCAAAGUGUAAUGAAAAAGGAUUGAUGUUGUAAUUUGUACAGCAUUCAUAUCUUAUAAUAAUGUUUAAUUCUUCAGAUAUAUAUAUAUAUAUAUAUAUAUAAUAAUGUAAUAUGAUAGAUUAAACGACUUUUCUAGAUAUAAAUUCUAUUAUAUCAGAUUAGUGCACUAAACUUUUUAAUAAACACAGUGAUGAUAUAAGAACAAAUUCAAUAUGCAUUAAUUAAUAAUUCAGGAAUUAUAUAAUACAUGUAUUUAUACGGAUUACACGUAAUUCAAUAAUUUCAGUGACAUCGUUUUAUUGGGUUAAGACGGAUUUAAGAGUACACGUAAGAAAGGGAUCGAUGCCACGUGAAUAUAAACGGUUUUUUACAAAAAUAGCGCAAAGUAAAAUUGCUAAAAGAUUUAACGCCAUAUUGACAAGAGAAGCCAAUGUAUCAGAAUCGAUACGAACAUUCCCGAAAGAGAUUAAACACUUCCAUAGAAGAAUGCCAGCUGAUCGUAUCAAAUCCCACGACAAUAAUCAAUCGAAUGACUAAACGCAGAAACGCGCUUGCGUUUAUUGUGUAACGCAAGGUGCAAGCACAAAGCUCGUGCGACAUAACCUCUCUCGAGCGUGCUUACGCGGCAGGAAGUACCCGCCCUUCUGAAGGCGCCGCCAUGUUGUCCGUGUCUUCCGCUCGGCGAAGUGUAAAGCGGAGGGGUAGAGACAAACGAGAUUAACAAUCGGCCAAUAAUUCGGUGCGGAUUUUCGUGGACGCGAGGGCCAGUCGCACUGUCACAAGCCGCCUGUCAAAUCAUCCGAGAGUGACGAUGCGUUGGACGAGGAAUUGGAGGUGGAGUCCAGCUACAAGCCUCCACCGGAGAAGUCCAUCGAGCAGAUCUUGGAAACGGACAAGGAGGAUGAGAGCCUACGCAA